rnacentral:rRNA from 1 species
CCUACGGGGGGCUGCAGUGGGGAAUAUUGCUCAAUGGGGGAAACCCUGAAGCAGCGACGCCGCGUGAAGGAUGAAGGCUUUCGGUAUGUAAAGCUCUUUUAGUAGAGAAGAUAAUGACGGUACCUGACUAAUAAGCACCGGCUAACUACGUGCCAGCAGCCGCGGUAAGACGGAGGGGGCAAGCGUUAUCCGGAUUUACUGGGCGUAAAGGGCGCGUAGACGGGGUAUCAAGUCAGAUGUGAAAGCCUUGGGCUCAACUAUAGCACUGCAUUUGAAACUGUGAAACUGGAGUACAGGAGAGGUAGGCGGAAUUCGUGGUGUAGCGGUGAAAUGCGUAGAUAUCAGGAGGAACACCAGUGGCGAAGGCGGCUUACUGGACUGUAACUGACGUUGAUGCGCGAAAGCGUGGGGAGCAAACAGGAUUAGAUACCCCUGUAGUC